rnacentral:rRNA from 1 species
AUACGAGUUUGAUCAUGGCUCAGGACGAACGCUGGCGGCGUGCCCAAUACAUGCAAGUCGAGCGGACCAAAGGGAGCUUGCUCCUGGAGGUUAGCGGCGAACGGGUGAGUAACACGUGGGCAACCUGCCUGUAAGACUGGGAUAACAUCGAGAAAUCGGUGCUAAUACCGGAUAAUAAAAAGAACUGCAUGGUUCUUUUUUGAAAGAUGGUUUCGGCUAUCACUUACAGAUGGGCCCGCGGCGCAUUAGCUAGUUGGUGGGGUAACGGCUCACCAAGGCGACGAUGCGUAGCCGACCUGAGAGGGUGAUCGGCCACACUGGGACUGAGACACGGCCCAGACUCCUACGGGAGGCAGCAGUAGGGAAUCUUCCGCAAUGGACGAAAGUCUGACGGAGCAACGCCGCGUGAGUGAUGAAGGUUUUCGGAUCGUAAAACUCUAGUUGUUAGGGAAGAACAAGUGCCGUUCGAAAGGGCGGCACCUUGACGGUACCUAACGAGAAAGCCACGGCUAACUACGUG